UUAAUUAAAAUAAUGAAUAUAAUAAUACAUACUUUACAGAAAUUUAUAUUUUGUUACACAAAUCGAUAGCAAGCUCUAUCAAUCUAUCAAUCUAUCAAUCUUUAUCAGUAUCAACUGUAAAUUAAAUAGAUAUAUACAUAUAUAUGUGUGUAUUGGGGAUAUAUUUUUAUCCAUAUAAGGGUUGUUUAAUAUAUUAGCACAGUAUAAUAUUUAGCAUAUUUUAUUUAUCUACCAUAUAGUAUAAUAGGCCACUGUUAAUUUUAGUUAAACUGCCAAACACCAUUCUAUUUGCAUUCAUGUACGAAACUAAUAUGCUAUUGGGAAAUUAGUAUAAGCUUAUCAGGGCAAUUCAACUCUGUGAUUUCCUACAUGUUUAAUGGCAGUGAAGUGAAAAGAAUGAGAUGAAACAUGAAUAAAUAUACUUGUAGGUCCAAUCCCAUAGCUGACAGAAGCUUAUUAAAUCUGUAUUUAUUUUAAAUUUCAGGAAAACAUUAAAGACACUCUCUCACUCCUAGUCAUCCUGAAAUGCAGCAACCCUUAAAAUCAAAGUUUCAAAACACACCUGCAUUAUAGUCAGUGGUAAUCAGAGACACAAAACAUGCUUGUUAGUGUUUUUGUGCUCCGUGUAUAACCUUAGAGUGUAAAGAAGACAAUUAGUAAGUCAUUGCCAUAGAGGAAAGAACACUGAAUUAGAAAGAUGAACAUCACAAUCUUCAUUUCUUAUAAAUGUAUUGAUCUAAGUUUCAUUGUAUUUUAAAUGGGAUUAUUAAAACAUUUGCUGCUCAUGUAACAAGGUACUUUUUAGGUGACUUGAGCUUCAGCCUGUGAAAGCAAUUUAAAAAUACGUGAAGUUGAAGCAGAUUUAUCCCAAGACUAAGAUCAGUUAUUACAGUUCUACUUAAAAAUGCAGCAAUCUCCAUGGAGGAGUAUUUCAUAAACUAAUCUCUAAGAGACAUAGGACAAAUUUUAUCAAGGACAGUUAUAUUCUCUUAAAACUGGUAGUAGCUGACAUUUAAUGAACAUUAAUUUUCCAAGUGUUCUCUAUUUCUAACUUCAUGUUAUAUGCAAUAGCUUAUAUAUAUUACAUAACAUAUAUAUUCAGGAGGAAACAGUUUGACACUGACACUUGUGGGACCUGGUUCAAGAGAGCAAAACAUUUGAAAAAAUACAUAAGUUGAAAUGAAAUAGUUUGUUUAUGGAUGUCCCAUUGUCCACGUAAAAGGUGUUUAUAACCUUUUAUAAAUUCUAAAUGUCAACAUAGUCAUUUAUAAAUACAUGCUUUUAUAAAUACCCAAAUAUCAAGGUUUAGAAGAAAAAUCCAGAUAAAAGUUGUAUAUAUUGGAUCAGAAGCUGAUGGCAAAAGUCUAAUGUAGAUGACAUUUUUAUUUUGUGGCCAGCAAAGAGAUACAUAAAAUGACUACUCUUCCCAUCUCUGGAAUGUACAUAUUGAGAUAAUUAUUUUUUAUUAACUAUUAAUGAUUUCUAUCAGUUUAUCCUUGGAUUUCCACAGCCUCCUAUGAUGACUAUAAAUUUAUGUUCACAGAUCCUAUGUAACUCCACAUUUAUCUCAAAAGGUUAGGUAAGAUUGGAUAUCACCACUCACAUAACUACCAAAACAACAAAAUCAAACUAUGUCCACUUUGUGGUCUAAAGUUGUUUCUCGUUUAAAUUUGCAAGGGAUUGAAUAUUUUUAAAAAAAUGUCUGUUUGUUUGUUUGUUUCUUUAUAGAGUGAGUGGUGGGGGAGAGAGAGACAGAGAGAGAGAGAGAAUUAUCCCAAGCAGGCUCCAUACUCAGUUUGGAGCCCAACAUGGAGUUUGAUCUCAACUAUGAGAUUCUGACUUGAACCAAAAUGAAGAGCUGGACACUUAACCAAUUGAGCCACCCAGGUGACAUACGAAAAAAUCACUUCCUCUAGUGCCUUGCCAUCAGGAAUGUUACUAAGCCAAUUCUAAUCUCAGCUGUCCUGCCAUGGUGCCUGUCUUACUCUAAUUCUCUCAGGAACUCCAUGACUCACGCUUUUCCGGUGUUGGCUUAUUAAACUGAAGUACUCUCAGGUGAAGGAUAUUUUGUUAUAUGUUAAAUGCUCACGGACACCUUCAGGAUUUUUUAAGGCCAGUAAGACCAAGGAGUUCUUACUUUAUAGUAUAUCUAUCAAAGGUUACCUUAAGAUGUCAUGUCAAAAAAUUCUAAUAAUUCUCAUGACUGGGCAGGCAUGAGAUUGGCUACCCUACAUAAUGAGUAAAGUCCCCCCUACAUAAUGAGUAAAGUCCCCCCUACAUAAUGAGUAAAGUCCCCUUCUUCACAGGGAAGUCAGGGAAAUUCUCUGAAGAUAUUUAAAGAAGCAGCCAGCUUAUUAAAAUCACAUCUUCUGUAUUAGAGUCUGUUUUAGCAAGAGGCCUCUCGUAACUACUACUCCUUUCUCUACAAUGAUACGGUUCUUUUUAUUAACUUUCACAAUUAUUUUAACUUUUUAUGUUAUUAUACUUAUUCCUGUGCUUGCCUUAUUUACCUUUCAAGAGCGUCAUGUCUUUAGACAUAGUGUCUAGCACAGUAUUUUUCUUUUAAUAGGUUUGUUCCAAAGUCAAAAAUCUCGAAUUUAAAUUCUAGAAAUAGACUGAACUAAGAUUCUAGUGUGGCAGGUUGCAUUCCAGGUUUUUGUUUUUAGUUUGUACCAAAUGUAUGCAAAAUAAAAUAAUAGUUGUUUCACACUAAGGUCACAAAAUCAUUGGACCAAACUUUCGUUGAAGUGUGCCACUACUUUUACUCUAUACGAAGAAUUAUUUAUGAAUAUCUUGUAUUCCUGCCUUUUGUUGUUUACAACUACUGAGACUAGUGGAGCCAGAUAAUACAGGAAAGCAUUUAACAAAGAUGCUUCUUUGUAAAUUUUUUAGAUGUUCACCUUCCCAUGAUUUUCAAAGGCAGUAGCAGUUGUUGCCUCAGGGGAGACAAAUACAGCAUGGACCAAAAAAUGUCACACAUCAUUUUUGAAUUUCAAAUUAAACUUUUUACAGGUCGGUAGUGAAAAGUUAGUCUUAUGAGCUACCGUUUUAUGCAUAAGUCUGCCUUUUUGAAAAAUAAAAAUAUUUGCUGAGCUCAAAGUUGAAGCCGGGAGGACUACGAACGAUAGAGUGAACCUACAAGUGGUCAUACAGUCUGUCCUGGAUUUCGAGUGGCAGGUUUGGCACAAUUUAGUGAGACUACUGUAUAGUCAUGGCUAGGUGCUGAAAAGAUAUCUUUCUGUGCCUUGCCCUCUCCUGGGGUCAAAAUUCUUCUCAGGGGGUCAUUAAAACCCCUUAAAUUUGUUUGGGAUUUCCAGAGCAGUGGGACCUUUGCUGAAUUUGUGCCAAAGUCAGUGUGGAAGAAGUCUUGAUCUCUCUGUGAAAUGGCCACAGUAGCAUGGAAAUAACACCUGGGCAUUAGGCAGAGGGGGAUCUGAGAGACUCCCAUCUGCCUGGUUUUCCCAGGCUCAGUCAGCGUCUACUCCAUCCGCUAAAGUUUCCCUUUCCUUUCAGGAAUAAGGCAACCAUUGUGUCAGAAUUAUAAUUAUUAUAAUAUCAGUAUGAAAAUUUUGAUAUUGGGGGAAUACUUAUUUGACAAAUUCAUUUUCUGUAUCUUCUUUCUAAAAAUUCUAAUAAAUUAACCUUUAGUUUUAUGUAAAUGCCAAUCAAUGAAUGCCUAUGUCUAUUACAAGAUAUUUGGUUUGUUACAAUUAUAGCAUUAUUGUAAAUAAAUAUGAGCUAUGACCCUGGCAAACAUUCCACAAAAUCUAAGUGAUGACGUUUUUAAUUUUUUUUAUUAAAGUUUUUAAGAUGAAAACAAAAUGAAAAAGAGAGCCAAUUCACAAAGAAACACUUAAAAAUGUUUUUUUUAAGUGAAAGAACACGUGUAGAUAACGUGCAUUUGCACUGGUAAUGCUUUCUAAGAGGGCCGCAGGAGUAACAAUUACUAGAAGAACAUGCCGUUUUCAGUCAGAGCACCUGGGAAGAGGCACUGUUUCUCCAUGAAGACCAGAUUGGUGCAUAGCCCACACUUUCCUUACAGAAUAAUUCCUUGAACGGCCGUUUUUCUGGUUGUGCAAAUGUAAAGCAAGUAAACACUCAUUUCCGUAGAGAAUAGAAUUCUUGGAUUGCCAUGCUAAACACUAAACACUAAAUUAUGAUCACCUUUGGAACAUGGUCAAGGAGCCUCUUAGGAGGAAAGUAAUUGAGAUCAGGACCUCUUUCCCCCAAUAUUCUUGGGACAUCUGUAAUAGGAUGGGAAGCCUCUAAGUCAUGUCUUCUGGAAAGAAAAUUAUCCAAAUUCUUAACAGAAUUCACUUUGAGGGAAGUGCAGGCCUUUGUUGGUGGCUAUGUAAACUCGAUGGUCUGACUAUUUAUGUAGUGGGUUGUCACAGUGUAUAGCUGAAGUUGUAAGCCACUGGGCACAACCACUUUUGGUUGGCAUUAUAUUAUUCUUUAGAUACUAUGCCUUAGCAGGUGAGGGUGAACUGAAUGAGCUGUUACUUGGAACUCCAACCCAGUCUCAGAAUAUCUUCUUAAAGUACAAUCAUUAAGUAUCACUGGACUUAUGAGGCUAGUUUUCAUUAUUAGUGAGGAUAGGUUUAUAUGCAUCUCUGACUUUACUAUGAUACUCUAUAAUAUGUUGAUUUUUAAAAAGAACUUGUAAUCAGAUUUUUUAAAAACAUAGAAGUUGAUGUAAAAAUAUUGAUGAAUCAAAAUAAUUGCAUGAAUAAAUUUAAAAUUAUAAGUGAGUGUAUUUAAAAUUUAUUUAAAAAAUCUUAAUUGCUUUCAACACUAUAUCUAGUAGAAUGAUAGUGUCAUUAACUUCAAUGUCUCUUAUUUAUUUGCUUAAUUUUAAAUAAAUCAUAAGAAGACAUGAAAAUAAAUGCUGUUUCCCCCAUCUAAAUAAGUAUUACUUUUUCCAGUUGAAGAUUAAAUAUAAUUUUGGUUGAACAAUCAUUUAUAUCACCUUAAUUCUCUUAGUAAAAUCCCUUUGAGUUGUGUAUACAAUGCUUAGAGUGAUGGUACACUGGAAAAAAUACUAUAAAUGGCAAACAUUAUGUUACUUUAUGGAUACACAAUUUUUUAUUCCAUUUAUUCCAUCUGCAAAAAUGUAUUGAGCCCCUACUACAUGUCGGUGUAGUUCUAGGCCUUGUAUAUACAAGUGUGAAAAAAACAAAGUCUUUGACCUCAUAGAGCCUAAAUCUAAUUGGAAGAGAGGCAGCAAAAUAAUUAGAUAACAUCAGAUGGUGAUAAGUAUCUGAAAGAAAGAUAAGAGAGUGAGGGCAGGGAAUAUGGAAAUGAUUGCUAUUUUAUAUAAGCUGGUCAGGGAGGAGCUCUCUCAAAAAGUGACCCAUUUUCACAGGCACCUGAAGAAAGUGAGAAUGGCCCUGGGGCAGAAGUGUGUUUGAUGUAGUCCAGGUAUAGCAAGAAGGGCAAUGUGGAUAUUUUGGAAUAACACUGGGAUGUUAUUAUAGAAAGCGAGACCCAAGAGUUAGUCCAAGGUCAAAGCAUGGAUUCCCAUGUCCACAAAGGUUUUUACUUUGGCUUUUACUCCCUGAGAGGAGGGAGGCCAUUGGGAAGUUUUGGGCAGAGGAGGAACUUCUAGAUUUAACAAGUAAAAACCACAGGCUAUCCAGUUAAAUUUCAAAUUCAGAUAAACAAUGAAUACAUUUAAAAAAUAAAUAGGUCCCCAAUAUUAUAUGGGAUGUACUUAUGGUAAAACAUUAUUCAUUAUCUGAAAUUCAAAUGAACAAUGUAUCCUGUAUUUUAAAGAAAUUCUUUCACGGCUAUGAGGUAAAUAAACUUUUCUGGUAGGGCAGAAAUAGAAGUUGGUUGAAACUGUUUGAAUAGAUUCAAAUACAUUCACUUAUCAGUAACCUAAAUCUGCUCUAUAAAAAUAGUUUAUAGCUUGGUGGAAUAAGUACAUGGGAAGAUAGGUGACUUGUGUUCUUUCUGUAAUUACCUGCUUUGCUCAACUUCCUUUGGAAAUCAGUAAAGUAUCUCUAAAGUAGAUACAAUUUAUUUCAUUAGAAAAAUAAGAUAAUCUUCUAUAAAAAUAGAUAUUAAGUUUUAAAAAGUAGAAAAUAGACCAAAAAAGUUAGGAUUUAGAAGACUUGAACAAUUAUAAUGAAUCAUUUUGACCUAAUGGACAAAUUAGACUACUAUGCCUAAGAACUCUAGAUUAUAUAUUAUUUUUCAAACCUACAAAGUACAUUUGCAAACACUGUAAAUAUGGCAUACAAACAUACUAGUCCAAAAAAGCAAAUCACAAAAACCUUCAACAGUGAAAUCAAAGUAUAUUUUUUGAAUACAGUACAAAUUAUAUUAUAAAUCAGUGGCAAACUAUAAAUAAUAUAUCCUCCAUAUGUUUGGGUAUUACAAAGAACAUGAAUGUAUUAAGAAAAACAUUUUAGGGGCACCAGGGUGGCUCAGUUGGUUAAGUGUCCAACUUUUGAUUUCUGCUCGGGUCAUGAUCUAACAGAUAGAGCCAGUGUUGGGCUCUGCACUGGGCAUGGAGACUACUUAAGAUUCUCUUUCCCUCUCUCUCUGUCCUUCCUCCACUUUCUCUCUUUCUCCUUCUCAAAAAAUAAAAAAUAAAAAAAUGUUUUAAUGGAUAACAAAAUAAUGCAUACCAAAUCUUAUUUGAAAUAACUAAAGCAGCAUUUUGAGAAAUUUAUAAUUUUAAAUGUAUAACUUAGAAAUCAAGUAUUACUUCAAAAGGUUGCAAAACAGAUCCAAAAAGUAUACAGAAAAAAACUUUAAGAGAAAAAUAAACAGGGGCACCAGAGUGGUUCAUUCGGCUAAGCAUCUGACUCUUGAUUUUGGCUCAGGUCAUGA